rnacentral:rRNA from 1 species
UACGUAGGGGGCAAGCGUUGUCCGGAUUUAUUGGGCGUAAAGCGCGCGCAGGCGGUCCUUUAAGUCUGAUGUGAAAGCCCACGGCUCAACCGUGGAGGGUCAUUGGAAACUGGAGGACUUGAGUACAGAAGAGGAAAGCGGAAUUCCACGUGUAGCGGUGAAAUGCGUAGAGAUGUGGAGGAACACCAGUGGCGAAGGCGGCUUUCUGGGACGGUACUGACGCUGAGACGCGAAAGCGUGGGGAGCGAACAGG